rnacentral:rRNA from 1 species
GAUGAACGCUGGCGGCGUGCCUAAUACAUGCAAGUCGAGCGAACGGACGAGAAGCUUGCUUUUCUGAUGUUAGCGGCGGACGGGUGAGUAACACGUGGAUAACCUACCUAUAAGACUGGGAUAACUUCGGGAAACCGGAGCUAAUACCGGAUAAUAUUUUGAACCGCAUGGUUCAAAAGUGAAAGACGGUCUUGCUGUCACUUAUAGAUGGAUCCGCGCUGCAUUAGCUAGUUGGUAAGGUAACGGCUUACCAAGGCAACGAUGCAUAGCCGACCUGAGAGGGGGAUCGGCCACACUGGAACUGAGACACGGUCCAGACUCCUACGGGAGGCAGCAGUAGGGAAUCUUCCGCAAUGGGCGAAAGCCUGACGGAGCAACGCCGCGUGAGUGAUGAAGGUCUUCGGAUCGUAAAACUCUGUUAUUAGGGAAGAACAUAUGUGUAAGUAACUGUGCACAUCUUGACGGUACCUAAUCAGAAAGCCACGGCGAACUACGU